AGUGAACGCUGGCGGUAGGCCUAACACAUGCAAGUCGAACGGCAGCACAGUAAGAGCUUGCUCUUACGGGUGGCGAGUGGCGGACGGGUGAGGAAUACAUCGGAAUCUACUUUUUCGUGGGGGAUAACGUAGGGAAACUUACGCUAAUACCGCAUACGACCUACGGGUGAAAGCAGGGGAUCUUCGGACCUUGCGCGAUUGAAUGAGCCGAUGUCGGAUUAGCUAGUUGGCGGGGUAAAGGCCCACCAAGGCGGCGAUCCGUAGCUGGUCUGAGAGGAUGAUCAGCCACACUGGAACUGAGACACGGUCCAGACUCCUACGGGAGGCAGCAGUGGGGAAUAUUGGACAAUGGGCGCAAGCCUGAUCCAGCCAUACCGCGUGGGUGAAGAAGGCCUUCGGGUUGUAAAGCCCUUUUGUUGGGAAAGAAAAGCAGCAGGUUAAUACCCCGCUGUUCUGACGGUACCCAAAGAAUAAGCACCGGCUAACCUCGUG
rnacentral:rRNA from 1 species